rnacentral:rRNA from 1 species
UACGGAGGGUGCAAACGUUGCUCGGAAUCAUUGGGCGUAAAGCGCACGUAGGCGGCUAGAUAAGUCGGGUGUGAAAGCCCUGGGCUCAACCCAGGAAGUGCAUUCGAAACUGUCUAGCUUGAAUCUCGGAGGGGGUCAGAGAAUUCCCGGUGUAGAGGUGAAAUUCGUAGAUAUCGGGAGGAAUACCAGUGGCGAAGGCGCUGACCUGGACGAAGAUUGACGCUGAGGUGCGAAAGCGCGGGGGAGCAAACAGG